CACUGCGCGGGCUCGGGCCUUCCCGAAAACCCGGGCCUGGGCCAGGUCGGGUAAAUGAGUUCUGACGGCG
rnacentral:lncRNA from 1 species